GCAUCAGCAUCCCAUACACAUGGAACCACACCGUUUUCUAUGAUCAGGCACAGGGAAGAAUGCCUUUCUUGGUUGAAACACUUCAUGCAUCCUCUGUGGAAUCUGACUAUAACCAGAUAGAAGAGACACUGGGUUUUAAAAUUCAUGCUUCAAUAUCCAAAGAUAUUAAUGAAUGUCAAGAAUCCAGCCCCUGUCACCAGCGCUGUUUCAAUGCCAUAGGAAGUUUCCAUUGUGGGUGUGAACCUGGGUAUCAGCUCAAAGGCAGAAAAUGCAUGGAUGUCAACGAGUGUAGACAAAAUGUAUGCAGACCAGAUCAGCACUGUAAGAACACCCGUGGUGGCUAUAAGUGCAUUGAUCUUUGUCCAAAUGGAAUGACCAAGGCAGAAAAU
rnacentral:sRNA from 1 species